rnacentral:rRNA from 1 species
GACCUUCGGGGUAGUGGCGGACGGUGAGUAACGCGUAGGUAUCUAUCCAUGGGUGGGGGACACUCUGGGAAACUGGAGCUAAUACCGCAUGACACCUGAGGGUCAAAGGCGCAAGUCGCCUGUGGAGGAGCCUGCAUUCGAUUAGCUUGUUGGUGGGGUAAUGGCCUACCAAGGCGAUGAUCGAUAGCUGGUCUGAGAGGAUGAUCAGCCACACUGGGACUGAGACACGGCCCAGACUCCUACGGGAGGCAACAGUGGGGAAUAUUGGACAAUGGGCGCAAGCCUGAUCCAGCAAUGCCCCGUGUGUGAANAAAGUCUNCGGAUNGUUAAGCCCUUUCCACCGGGGACCAUUAUGACGGUACCCCUUAAA